UACGUAGGGUGCGAGCGUUGUCCGGAAUUAUUGGGCGUAAAGAGCUUGUAGGCGGUUUGUCGCGUCUGCUGUGAAAAUCCGGGGCUCAACCCCGGACUUGCAGUGGGUACGGGCAGACUAGAGUGUGGUAGGGGAGACUGGAAUUCCUGGUGUAGCGGUGAAAUGCGCAGAUAUCAGGAGGAACACCGGUGGCGAAGGCGGGUCUCUGGGCCGAUACUGACGCUGAGGAGCGAAAGCGUGGGGGAGCGAACAGG
rnacentral:rRNA from 1 species